GACGAACGCUGGCGGCGUGCCUAAUACAUGCAAGUUGAGCGCUGAAGGUUGGUACUUGUACCAACUGGAUGAGCAGCGAACGGGUGAGUAACGCGUGGGGAAUCUGCCUUUGAGCGGGGGACAACAUUUGGAAACGAAUGCUAAUACCGCAUAAAAACUUUAAACACAAGUUUUAAGUUUGAAAGAUGCAAUUGCAUCACUCAAAGAUGAUCCCGCGUUGUAUUAGCUAGUUGGUGAGGUAAAGGCUCACCAAGGCGAUGAUACAUAGCCGACCUGAGAGGGUGAGCAGCCACAUUGGGACGGAGACACGGCCCAAACUCCUACGGGAGGCAGCAGUAGGGAAUCUUCGGCAAUGGACGAAAGACUGACCGAGCAACGCCGCGUGAGUGAAGAAGGUUGUCGGAUCGUAAAACUCUGUUGGUAGAGAAGAACGUUGGUGAGAGUGGAAAGCUCAUCAAGUGACGGUAACUACCCAGAAAGGGACGGCUAACUACGUG
rnacentral:rRNA from 1 species